AGCAGACAGCAGUUGUUUCCAUGUUCCCAUCAUUCAGAGAUUAUGAAGGCACAUUCCCACCUUUGAUAUGCCUGCAGUCAAGUGAAGCAGACCCAAGUCAAUGGUUGCAGUGUUGCAUUUGAGUAGUCUAAAACAGAAUGCCACAUCAUGGUGGAUUGUGCUAUGGGCAGCUUCCAGUAUGUGAGUUGUAGAAGAUGAGAAUUGGAACACAUUUUGAAGGAUGAGGAGUAUUAAGAAAAAGACCCGCGGCCUGUGUGCAUUUGUUCUGCCUUAUUCUGAUGACCAAAUUUAUCAGCAAGUUGCAGGUGAACAUGGCCUUGAGGUAAAUCCUGCCCCUCGUUGAAAUUCAGCUGUAGAUUGUUCAUGGUAUUUUAAGGAACUGGAAUAUUUAACAAAAACCAAAAAUUUUAUUUGGUUCUGCUUUAGACUUACUUUUUUCUUCUUGGAGUGAGAGAUAUUCAGAGAAGUUCUUUGUGCUAUGUAAUUGUGAUGCUUGAAGUUGAUUGUCUGCCUUGUUAAAAUUAAGUAGAUUUUUUUUAAAUGUUUAGGACAAUUAUAGAGUUUUUUCUUGGUCAAAUAAAAAUUAAUUAAAACUUUAUAGAUGC